CCCGCACAGCAGCGGAGCGUGUGGUUUAAUUCGAUGCUACACGAAGAACCUUACCAGGGUUUGACAUGCAAGUGGUAGGAAACCGAAGGCGACCGACCCUUCGGGGAGCUUGCACAGGUGCUGCAUGGCUGUCGUCAGCUCGUGUCGUGAGAUGUUCGGUUAAGUCCGCUAACGAGCGCAACCCUCGCUGUGUGUUACAAGUGUCACACGGUACUGCCGGUCUUAAGCCGGAGGAAGGUGGGGAUGACGUCAAGUCAGCAUGGCCUUUAUGUCCUGGGCUACACACACGCUACAAUGGCCAACACAAUAGGUUGCUAAGCCGCGAGGUGGAGCCAAUCCUCAAAGUUGGUCUCAGUUCAGAUUGCAGGCUGCAACCCGCCUGCAUGAAGAUGGAGUUGCUAGUAACCGCAGGUCGGCUAUACUGCGGUGAAUACGUUCCCGGGGCUU
rnacentral:rRNA from 1 species